GCGAAGGGUUUGGCACCUCUAUAGGGAUGACCGUGAUUGGCGGAGAGCCGGUGGAGGCGAAUCCUGGGCGGUUCUGGGCGAUUGCCGACGACGAGGAAACAGUGAUCACCGGUGAGGAUGUUGAACCCGUUACCAGGGCUUCGACGUAUCUCGCCUGCUCGCCUGCGUCGGAUGGACGCACGAUGGUGGAGGCGGCUACCUCGGCGCUACGACGACGUGAAUAGAAGAAGAGGAGGCAGAGACUAGCGGCGAUCACUCUCAGAUCAGGUGAUUUUUUGAUUCAGUUUUAUCCGAUUCUUCUGCGUUUGUUCAUGGUUGCAGAUCGAUCGGUAGACGACCAAGGAUUUCCACACCAGUCAUGUCGCCUUCAACAUUCCUGCUUGAAACUUUCGAUGCUAGUGAAUGGAUGCUUGUACAACGAAGACGGCGGCGGGCUAGGAUGGCAGGGCCGGUGGAGAGCAGGUGGGCAUGCGAUCACCCUGUCCAUCGCCGGCAGAGAUUGCCAUCGAUGCAUGCUCCAGCACAGAUCCGUCAGAGGGGUUUUUUGAAUUUCAAACCUGCUGUUUCUGAAUUGGGCCGGGCUGAUUUAUGUUUGUCUGAUAUUGAGCCGAAUUGCUUGGUUCCAAACAAGGGCAGUAUGGGCCCGAAACCAGCGAUCGCGCCCUGAUCAGCUGCACGCGUGACUCGUUUUGAUCGAGGUCCACAAUGUAGGCUAGAUUUCGGUCAAAAAUCUGUUCGUCCCGCACCCCUUGUUCCUCCGCUCUCACCUGUUGUCGCUGCCGUCAUGAACCGCGGUGGAGGGAACUCGAGGAGGGGAGGCCAUGGUAGCGGACGGUGGGACAGUGGAGGAAACGGUCCGCCGCCGGGCGGCAGAUCAAAUUUCGAGCAAGGUGGCCCGAGUGGCACUGCCGGUCAUGGGGGCAACCCCGGCAAUGGGGCUGAUCGAUCUAAUGAUGUUUUUGGUGAUGGUAUUUUCCGUGCUGGACAUGGGCGCCCCAAUAAUGCCGGGGGUGGCUACAGGAAUCAGCAUGGAUACAACAGGGGCUAUAACUGCAAUUUCGGAGGUAACCAUUUCAAUCGACGUCCGUCUAAUACUUAUGUUCGGUGGGAUGAUCUGCCUAGAGAUGGACCGGAUCUUACUGGUCUCAAUGAUGCCCAAAAACGCCUAGUCAAGGAGGUGGCUGAAGCUUUUGCUAAAUAGAUUCUUGCUACCUCUAAUUCUGAAUAUGCUAAUCAUAAUGUUACUAUGCCGGUUGUUCGAGAACCUGGACGGACAGUGCCCCCUCUGAAUAGACAGACACAUGUAGCAAGACAAUCUGAUGUAAGGUCUUCUAAUGUUAAUACGGCCGGGGAAAAUCUGCUAAGGCUGACACAUGCUGAUAGUACUUUUGGGGCUGGGUCUAUCUCAUAGACUGCAGCCCAAAACCAGAGUGAUGAGUUAGUUUUGGCUGCUGCGGCUAAGAAGAAAGGACCGGAGUGCUUUAGGUGUCACAAAACAGGUCACUGUAUUAAUGAUUGUAAAGCAGAUUUAUGUGACCGUUGUCAAAGUGCUGAUCAUGCAAAUAGAGACUGUCCAAUUCUGCGUGCUCCCAAACCAAGAAUUGCUAUCUAUGGAGUUGGGCAUGUGGACUUAACCUUUUGGAAGAUACCUCUUUCUGGUGAUGUUCGGCCUCGUGUUGAGAAUACAAGGUUAGGUAGAGUGGCAGUUGAGGGUGGGAUCAUGACCAUACCUGAACUAAUAGCGCAGUUACAGUUUUUGAUGUCUGAUGAUCAGUAUCAGUGGGAUGUUCAGCAGAUGGAGGAUAAUGUAUUCAGGGUCAGUUUUCCAAGUAGAAGUGACUUGGUGAAGGCUCAGCAUUUUGGAAAAUUUUGUGUGCCAAGAACACAAAUUACUUUGGCGUUUGAUUUCUGGAGAAAGGAUGUUGUACUAGUAUGGACGGCAGAAGAGGUGUGGGUCAGAGUACAUGGUUUCCCUCCUUUUGCUCUUGAUGAAAUUUUAUCUUUGUGGGCUUUUGGUGAUAUUUUUGGUGAGACUACAAAUAUUGAUAUACCAUUUACAAGGGCUAAUAAUGUGCUAAGAAUUCGCAUUAGCUGUUUGGAUCCUGCUCUUAUUCCUGCUAGUCUUGAUGUCAAGAUUCACAACGAUUUCUUUCGACUCCAUUUUGAAGUGGAGGGCUUACGAGCUCCAACAACAAAUGAGGAGAGUGUGUCCGAGGAUAUGCAUAAGGACGACGACAUGGAUCAUGAUGGUCCUAGCAACAAUCCAGGAGAUGAUUUCGAUAGAGAAGUCAAGAGGAAGAAGAAUGAGGAGGAAGGAAAAGAUACUGACUAUGAACCAUCACAUCCAGCUCCUUCGGCUGACACUUCUAUGGCUGUAUCUCCUACUACCUCCGGUUCAAGGAAUAAUGCGUCCUCAUUUUACGUGUUUUUUGUUUGACCAAAAAUUACUUCAAAUACAUAAAGAUUGUUCGUAUGAAAUUAGCAUCAUUAGAAAGUACUUUUCAAUAUGAAUCUAACGAUACUAAUUACAUAUAAUAUAAUCAAGAUUUUAUUGCUCAAUUUUUAUGGUCAAAGUUCAUCUUGAGAUACGUGUGCGCCUUAUUCCUUGGGACGGAGGUAGUAUUAAGCUUGCUCAAGAAAAUGAUACUGCGUUUGUAGAUGUCUCACCUAGUGCCACGGCGAAUUUGGAAGUGGUGGAGUGGCCUAUGGCCACCUCGGACCCGAAUGUGACAGCUGCAUGGCUCGCUGAGCUGGGUCAUGACCGGUCUCCUGCCCAGCGAGACGCUCGCGGGUUGAGGGAUGCUGAUUUCGUGGCGACGGAGGCUGCUGAGCUUGUGCAUGGCACAUGCACGCAGGGUGCUCUCGCUACGUCGAUCGGGGCAUAGAGCCCUGCUGUGCAUGGCGCAUGCAGCACAUGCAACCUCGCCACGUCGAUCGAGGCGACGAGCAGUGCGGUGCAUGGCUCAUGCAGCCCAGGCACGUCGAUCAUGCCGAACAUGGUGAUCUUGUCGCCGACACUAGCUUCAUCAUCGCCGGCCAAUUUAUCCUCCCAGGCUACUAUUCCAAAUGGUAUUAACAGUGAGCCUAUGACGACUUUAAAACGAACGUAUGUUCACAUGGUAAAACCGACACGGAGUAUUCAGAUCAACACUACUGUAUCUCCCUUGCUAAUGUUGGUUAAGGAUAUGGCAGUUGCGGCUACCAAGAAGAACAUAACACCGGAUAUAAUGACCACUCCGGUAUCUACAACUUUUUCUACUGAAGAGGUGAUUGCUUUUGGUGGCAUAAAAUCACUGGAGGCAAAAGGUAUAAGGUCGAGAGGAAGACUUCGUGCGCAGCCCAAUGCGGAUGCGACGCAGCUUCAAAAAGCUAUGUUGCUUGCACAAAGGCGUAGUGAAAGCUUUGCGCAAGUGGCAGAUCAUGACCUCAAGUCUCGACGCUGGCGGGUAAGGAGUUCGCGUUCUUGUCGAUGCGAGGAUCCCACUGCCUGAUGAAAAUAGAGGAUGGGGUGCGGCGGGGCGACUCUGCGUCGAUGGUCCCCUGUGCUCUGUUGGACGUUCUAGUGCUCCUCGGGUUCGUGUUCGGCCGAGACAGUGGCUCCGCGAGAUCCAGUGGAGCUCGUCCUCGAUGUUCUGGUGUAGUAAAAAAAUUCCGGGAAGAGGUCAGCAAGAUAUGCAAGGACAGGAUACCAAAAGAAGGCGGCGGGAGCUCACGCUGGCGAUGGAAUCGUUGAUGAACUGCUUCGGAACGGCGAACUCCAGCGAGCUAAUUUGGCAGCCUGGAGGCAUGAUUCGAGGAAAUGAGAGAUGGCAAAUAGAGAGGUGGACGAGAGGAUUAUAUAGGCACAGACGUCCGGUCAAAUUAGGCAGGGAGUAACGCAUACUAACGCGGAGAGAAAAUUGAGUAAACGUGGUCUCCAGACAUUUAAGGUCAUUUAAGGUCAGGGUCUGUUUAAGCUGUGUUAAAAUGGGAUUUCAAUUCUCUAGAAAGGACCGUGGGUGUGUGGGCCAUAAAUUUUGUUUGCAUGGCAUGCAGUUUCAGUAUCUUCAAUUGAUGGAAUGGAAAGGAGAAGAGGAGGUGCCAUGGAUGUACGUUACAGCUUGUGAAUAUGUUGGUGGAGGAGGGAGACGAUUGAGUUCUGGAUGGCUGGGUUGGUUUGGCCUAGAUGGGUCUGGUUGGGUCGGUUCCCCAUAUUUUCUUUUCCUUCUCUAUUUCUCUUUUCUUUUUGUUAUUUGAUUUAAACUUUCAAUUUAAUUCAAACUAAAACAAUUCAUGUCUGAACAUUUUGAGAGAAACUGACGCAUAGAAUAUUCAGAAUAGAACACGUUGAAAUAGUUUAAAAUAACUCCAAAAAGUUUUAAUUCUUUGUGAAUUUUUAAUCAA